GAGAAGGUGGCUCAGUGGUAGAGUGCUUGCCUUGCAUGCAUGAGGCCUUGGGUUCGAUUCCUCAGCAUCACA
rnacentral:tRNA from 1 species